AGUCGAACGAUGAUGCCCAGCUUGCUGGGCGGAUUAGUGGCGAACGGGUGAGUAAUACGUGAGUAACCUGCCCUUGACUCUGGGAUAAGCCUGGGAAACUGGGUCUAAUACUGGAUACUACCGUCCACCGCAUGGUGGGUGGUGGAAAGGGUUUUACUGGUUUUGGAUGGGCUCACGGCCUAUCAGCUUGUUGGUGGGGUAAUGGCUCACCAAGGCGACGACGGGUAGCCGGCCUGAGAGGGUGACCGGCCACACUGGGACUGAGACACGGCCCAGACUCCUACGGGAGGCAGCAGUGGGGAAUAUUGCACAAUGGGCGGAAGCCUGAUGCAGCGACGCCGCGUGAGGGAUGACGGCCUUCGGGUUGUAAACCUCUUUCAGUAGGGAAGAAGCGAGAGUGACGGUACCUGCAGAAGAAGCGCCGGCUAACUACGUGCCAGCAGCCGCGGUAAUACGUAGGGCGCAAGCGUUGUCCGGAAUUAUUGGGCGUAAAGAGCUCGUAGGCGGUUUGUCGCGUCUGCUGUGAAAGCCCGGGGCUCAACCCCGGGUCUGCAGUGGGUACGGGCAGACUAGAGUGCAGUAGGGGAGACUGGAAUUCCUGGUGUAGCGGUGAAAUGCGCAGAUAUCAGGAGGAACACCGAUGGCGAAGGCAGGUCUCUGGGCUGUUACUGACGCUGAGGAGCGAAAGCAUGGGGAGCGAACAGGAUUAGAUACCCUGGUAGUCCAUGCCGUAAACGUUGGGCACUAGGUGUGGGGGACAUUCCACGUUUUCCGCGCCGUAGCUAACGCAUUAAGUGCCCCGCCUGGGGAGUACGGCCGCAAGGCUAAAACUCAAAGGAAUUGACGGGGGCCCGCACAAGCGGCGGAGCAUGCGGAUUAAUUCGAUGCAACGCGAAGAACCUUACCAAGGCUUGACAUUCACCGGACCGCCCCAGAGAUGGGGUUUCCCUUCGGGGCUGGUGGACAGGUGGUGCAUGGUUGUCGUCAGCUCGUGUCGUGAGAUGUUGGGUUAAGUCCCGCAACGAGCGCAACCCUCGUUCUAUGUUGCCAGCACGUGAUGGUGGGGACUCAUAGGAGACUGCCGGGGUCAACUCGGAGGAAGGUGGGGAUGACGUCAAAUCAUCAUGCCCCUUAUGUCUUGGGCUUCACGCAUGCUACAAUGGCCGGUACAAAGGGUUGCGAUACUGUGAGGUGGAGCUAAUCCCAAAAAGCCGGUCUCAGUUCGGAUUGAGGUCUGCAACUCGACCUCAUGAAGUCGGAGUCGCUAGUAAUCGCAGAUCAGCAACGCUGCGGUGAAUACGUUCCCGGGCCUUGUACACACCGCCCGUCAAGGCACGAAAGUUGGUAACACCCGAAGCCGGUGGCCUAACCCC
rnacentral:rRNA from 1 species